CCGAACGUCGCUUGGAUUUAACUCCAUCUCCUCGUCUUUUAGAUGUGUCUUAAUCUGGGCUUGCGCCGUCCUUCCCUCCGCUGAACAGGAGGAGUGAAAAUCGCAGUUUACCCGCUGCGAGCCGCACACACAAGGGCUGGAUUGUGGGCCGGAUGGAGAUUAAGGGGAAAAGUGCAGGAAAAAAAAGCAGCAGAGCAACGAGAGACGCUUCUAUACUUCGAAAUGCAAAAGAAAGCAACCGUGGGCUGUGUUCAAGAGCCGGCCUGGGACUGAUGGCACCCAAACCCCGCAAUUCGAAAUGAGUUUGAUGGGAUUUAAGGCUACUUCUGCGAACUUCAGGCGAGGCGAAAAAUAACCCGAGCGCCUGAAGUUGCUCGAGAAGCUCUUCUCGCCCAGCGUCAACUUUCCUCUCUCCUUUAAUUUCCCAAUAAAUAUGCAAAUCGAUUCGUCCCCACAAAUGGGGGAACGGGGAAAAUAAAUAAAUGACAGAA